GAAGGGAGGAUUCUGGUGGUCCUGGCGUAAGCGAAUCUCGGACGGGGUCGCCAUGGCCCCCGGCUGCAAAUGUAAGUUGCGAGCCUGCCUGGUGAACUCAUCGCCGCUGGCAGAUGCCGGUGCUACGGGGCGUCACCUCUUAGGGCGCCCCGCGAGGGCGACGACGGCACACGCAGUGGGAACCCGAGUUCCUCACGGAGCGCGGGCGUCCCGCCUCGGCCACCCUACACCCGAGCGCUCUUCUCUGUGCAUGGGACCCUGCUGUUUCCUUGCUGGCUUCUGGUGUCCUGAGGGCGGCCCUUGCGCUGCACUUGAUGCUUGAUUACCUAUUUCUGCCUUUUUUGAAGGGAAGGGAUUUGUGUUCCCUUCGGUGGCCUACCCUCAGAGGAGGGAACUUUAAAGCGAAUUGCAACGGUCCCUUUACAACAGUUCCCAUUCUUCAUGCAAGACUUCAUGAGUUCCUGAAACCAGAACUGUAUCUUAGUACAGAACCCUAUAGAUAAUGUGCUCUGUAAACUAAGUGUACUAAGAUUAGCUAAUACUAAAAUACCUCAAUUAUAGUAAUAGACAGUAAUAGUUAUUUGAAAGUAGUCUUUGCCUCAAUUAUAGUAAUAGACAGUAAUAGUUAUUUGAAAGUAGUCUUUGACAUAGUGUCUUAUUAUACCGGUCUUUUAUCCUAUGAGAUUCUACGGUGUCUACUUGCUGAGAGAAAUUCUGUAGACAGUAUGACAGAGUUAGUAUCCAAAAGUCACUUGAACACAAGCAUUGUGAUAUAGCCACUUGAUCUAAUAACAAAUGGCUGAGACUGUUAGGAGAGUAGUGUUUAUAGUACCUGGCUAAAAAGAGUUGUGUAGCAUGAGGCUUUAUAUUGAGACCUUGUUU
rnacentral:lncRNA from 1 species